rnacentral:lncRNA from 1 species
GAGAACUUAAAAACUAGAGUAUGAGAGAGUGGACAUAUGCAUGAAGAUCAUAUGGCCUCUGAUGACUUUGAUGAACAUGAUUACUAAAUUUUCUUCAGUAUACUUUGAAAGUAGAACAUGCCUAGAAGUGGACUACGAGGAAGAAACGGUGAGGACGUAGAAAAAGAUGAAGCAAAAUCUGAAAUCUAAAUCUCUCUCUACUACAACUUUGAAGAUAAAGGGCAAGAACUCCUACACGAUUAUUAGGUAAUCCAUGUCUCUGGUUUUGUCUUUAAUCUGAUCUUCUCUAAUCUCUACUACGUGAAGUUGUAGUUUAUUUGUAAGUUUUGAUUGAUCUUGUAGUUAAGAUUUUCAUAUAUUCAUUCUUUUUAAAGAUACAUUGGCGGUAAUUUUAAAAAAAUAAAGUCCACAUCUUACCUCUACUGCUUUAUGUUGUUCAGCUCUCCUCUUCUUUCCACAAUCGGAGAGGUUAAAAAGAAACAGAUUACACUUUGUUGCAUAUAUACACUGGAUCUAUAAAGUUUUGAAAUUGAGAUGCAGUGUUGAAAAAUCAGAACCAGUAAAUGAAGAUGUGGAAGAGGAAGGUCAACAAUGGAGAAAGGAGAACUUGAAAAUCAAGCAUAGUCAAAAUAUACUCUUUGAAGAAACUACAAACGAGACCUGAGCGUGAGAAGGUAGAAGAGCAAACUAGAGAUAGCAGAGCUAUGAAAUUACUAGAGAAAGAAAAUUGGCUUGAUCGAUUCUAAGUGAUAUAAAGCAAACUAAGACCGUUUAGAAAACAGUGUAACAGAGCUGAUUAAUAUGUUUAUUGUUCCCUAUAGCCUGUUCCCUAUAGCCGAUGGGUAUAACUUGUGGCUUUUUAGUUGAUAAACCAUUACUAACAAUAUAAUUUUAGUUG